rnacentral:sRNA from 1 species
GCUGUACUGACUUGAUGAAAGUACUUUUGAACCCUUUUCCAUCUGAUG